rnacentral:rRNA from 1 species
ACGGAAGGUAGCAGUGAGGAAUAUUGGUCAAUGGUCGUAGGACUGAACCAGCCAAGUAGCGUGAAGGAAGACUGCCCUAUGGGUUGUAAACUUCUUUUAUACGGGAAUAAAAAAGACCACGUGUGGUUUAUUGCAUGUACCGUAUGAAUAAGGAUCGGCUAAUUCCGUGCCAGCAGCCGCGGUAAUACGGAAGAUCCGAGCGUUAUCCGGAUUUAUUGGGUUUAAAGGGAGCGUAGGCGGGCUUUUAAGUCAGUGCUCAAAGCGUGUGGCUCAACCAUACCACGGCAUUGAUACUGGAGGCCUUGAGUGCACAUAAGGAUGGUGGAAUUCGUCGUGUAGCGGUGAAAUGCUUAGAUAUGACGAAGAACUCCGAUUGCGAAGGCAGCUGUCCGGGGUGUAACUGACGCUAAUGCUCGAAAGUGCGGGUAUCAAACAGGAUUAGAUACCCUGGUA